ensembl:misc_RNA Metazoa_SRP Metazoan signal recognition particle RNA
GCCAGGUGUAGUGGUGCACACCUGUAGUCCCAGCUACCCAGGAGGCUGAGGUGGGGGAAAUUCUUGAGCCCAGGAGUUUGGGGCUGCAGUGAGCGAGUUACAAUGAGUGUGUCUAUGAAGAGCCAUUGAGCUCCAGCCUGAGCCACAUAGUGAGACCCCAUCUCAG